UGGGGAAUUUUGGACAAUGGGCGAANCCUGNUCCAGCCAUGCCGCGUGCAGGAUGAAGGCCUUCGGGUUGUAAACUGCUUUUGUACGGAACGAAAAGACUCUGGUUAAUACCUGGGGUCCUUGACGGUACCGUAAGAAUAAGCACCGGCUAACUACGUGCCAGCAGCCGCGGUAAUACGUAGGGUGCAAGCGUUAAUCGGAAUUACUGGGCGUAAAGCGUGCGCAGGCGGUUAUAUAAGACAGAUGUGAAAUCCCCGGGCUCAACCUGGGAACUGCAUUUGUGACUGUAUAGCUAGAGUACGGCAGAGGGGGGAUGGAAUUCCCGCGUGUAGCAGUGAAAUGCGUAGAUAUGCGGAGGAACACCGAU
rnacentral:rRNA from 1 species